rnacentral:rRNA from 1 species
CCUACGGGGGGCAGCAGUAGGGAAUAUUGCUCAAUGGGGGAAACCCUGAAGCAGCAACGCCGCGUGGAGGAUGAAGGUUUUCGGAUUGUAAACUCCUUUUGUUAGAGAAGAUAAUGACGGUAUCUAACGAAUAAGCACCGGCUAACUCCGUGCCAGCAGCCGCGGGAAUACGGAGGGUGCAAGCGUUACUCGGAAUCACUGGGCGUAAAGAGCGCGUAGGCGGGAUAGCAAGUCAGAUGUGAAAUCCUAUGGCUUAACCAUAGAACUGCAUUUGAAACUGUUAUUCUAGAGUAUGGGAGAGGUAGGUGGAAUGCUUGGUGUAGGGGUAAAAUCCGUAGAGAUCAAGAGGAAUACUCAUUGCGAAGGCGACCUGCUAGAACAUAACUGACGCUGAUGCGCGAAAGCGUGGGGAGCAAACAGGAUUAGAUACCCCAGUAGUC